CCUACGGGAGGCAGCAGUGGGGAAUAUUGGGCAAUGGGCGCAAGCCUGACCCAGCAACGCCGCGUGAAGGAAGAAGGCUUUCGGGUUGUAAACUUCUUUUCUCAGGGACGAAGCAAGUGACGGUACCUGAGGAAUAAGCCACUGCUAACUACGUGCCAGCAGCCGCGUUAAUACGUAGGUGGCAAGCGUUAUCCGGAUUUACUGGGUGUAAAGGGGGUGUAGGCGGGACUGCAAGUCAGAUGUGAAAGCCAUGGGCUCAACCCAUGGACUGCAUUUGAAACUGUAGUUCUGGAGUACAGGAGAGGUAGGCGGAAUUCCUAGUGUAGCGGUGAAAUGCGUAGAUAUUAGGAGGAACACCAGUGGCGAAGGCGGUUUGCUGGACAGCAACUGACGUUGAGGCGCGAAAGCGUGGGGAGCAAACAGGAUUAGAUACCCCUGUAGUC
rnacentral:rRNA from 1 species